UGUGUGUGUGUGUGCGCGCGCGCGUGCGUGCGUGCGUGCGUGCGUGCGUAUGUGUGUUUCAGCUGCUGAGCCAUAAUGGAAUCCUCCAGGCUGUGGAUGAGCAGAGGAGGAGGAACAUUGAUGGAUGUGUCUGGUCACUGAUGGAGGGUGUCUCUGGUAUGAAAGAGAGACAGAGGGAGGGAGGAGGAGGAUGGAAAGAGAGGAAGAGGCUGAAUGAAUGGAAGGAGGAAAUGUGAGAAGGGACACGAGGCAAAGGAAAGACGGAAACGGAGAGCUAGACGGCAUUAUAUUUAUACAAACAGAAGGAGGGAGGGGGGAGCUGCUUAGCAUGGCAAAGCGUAUAAUGUGUGUUUGAGUGAGAUCACAGUAACAUCAGAUAUUAUAAUGACUACAUUUUGUGCAAUUAAAAGUCCAUUUUGAACAACUGAAUGAACAAACUGAAGCGGCACACAUUCUCCUUUGUGUGUAUGUGUGUGCAUACAUAUACAUACAGUACAAUAUCCAGUGUUCACUUACAAUAUUACACUGGAUAAAGUCUUAGCUGUAUCUGCGGGAACCCUUGACACCACUUUUCAUUUGGAAGACUUCUAAUUGGUCAAUUGCAUACCCCUCAUGCUCAAUCAGCUGUUGCCUAGCAACUGCAGUCCGGGGGAGCAGUAGGAGAGGAGCAGGGGAAAAAAGGGCUCGGCUAAAAAGUGAGAGGAGAGCAAAAGAGGGGUGCGGGUGAUGGUGGAGGUCGGGGGUAAUUUAGUGUGUUAGAGAGAAAGAGGGAAAGAAAGAUAUACACAGAGUUGAAAGGAGAAAGGGAGGGAGGAAUCACACCGCACAUACAGAUCCAGAUGAAGCAAAAGGAGGUGGAGUAAAGUCGUGACUCCUUGUUCUGGCCUCGACAUGUAAAAACGGGCAAGCCUAUAAACAGAAGCGAGUUUCCCCAAAGAGCAGGCUGAUAGUGAAACAAGAGCAUCGUGUCCUUCAUAUGGCAUUCACACAAUCAACAGUUGACUGGGACUGCAGUGGAGGACCUGAGUGAGAGAGCAGGAGGAGGGGGAGCAACAACACUGUGGGCAGCCUGGAGGCCCAGAGGAGCUCCAGGCUGCCUCUGCCACAGCUGAGCCCCAAGGGUCCACUGCUGCUGGUGCUGGAAAUCUGGCAGGCUGGGCAGGCAUGUGGAGUCCCUGCCUCAGCCCAGGCAUGCAGAUCCACGACCCCAGGGGGGAUGCAGACUCCUACACUGAGUGGUUAAUAUAUUCACAACUCUCCCCUGGCCGGGGGCUUAGAGUCUGAGAAUACUCCACGAGGACCCGACUGCAUACACUGACAACAUUCACAAAUGAAUAUGUUAAGCAAGGCUUUGCUACACCCUUUGGGCAGGCUUAAAUAUAUAAGUGGCUAUCAUCACAAAGGAAAUGCGGCUUUGUCUAGAGUUGUACAAAUGUGCUAAGUAUAACUUCAGAGUACGCCAUAAGGAGCACAAGAAUGUAAAUAAGUCUGGCAAGAUAUCAUUCAUCAUAUCUACAUUGGUUUCUUCCUCAGAGAUCUCCCACAGGGAUCUUUUCAUCAAGGACUGAGACAGAAAAAAUAACCUCAGAAA